UUGUGAGGUAAUCUUGUACUAUGUAAUCUAUAAAUUUUUUUAUAAUGAAGCUUUUGCAUCAUCUAUGCUCGUAAACAUAGAUCAAUAAACCGAACCAUAUAAAUAUUGUGUUCUUCACUUGUGUUUUUCUCCUUUUUCUUGUUAUUUCAUUAUUCUCUCUGCUUGUGGCAACAAGUGGUAUUAGAGCCUUGGUCUUUUCAAUUGGAGUUUCGCAAUAACAGUUACAAAAUUUGAAAUUGAGAAGUUUAAUAGAGCAAAUUAUG
rnacentral:lncRNA from 1 species